UACAGAGGGGUGCGAGCGUUAAUCGGAAUUACUGGGCGUAAAGCGUGCGUAGACGGUUAUCUAAGUCGGAUGUGAAAGCCCCGGGCUCAACCUGGGGAAUGGCGAUGGGAUACUGGCUCGCUAGAGUGCGGUAGAGGAGAGUGGAAUUCCCGGUGUAGCAGUGAAAUGCGUAGAGAUCGGGAGGAACAUCAGUGGCGAAAGCGACUUCCUGGACCAAUACUGACGCUCAUGUGCGAAAGCGUGGGGAGAAACAGGAUUG
rnacentral:rRNA from 1 species